GGCUACUGCUAUUGGGAUUCGACUAAGCCAUGCGAGUCAAGGUGUCUUCGGACGCCGGCGUACGGCUCAGUAACACGUAGGUAACCUACCCUCAGGACUGAGAUAACCCCGGGAAACUGGGGCUAAUAUUAGAUAGAUAAAAGGUACUGGAAUGUUCUUUUAUCCAAAGCUUUUGCGCCUGAGGAUGGGCCUGCGUCCGAUUAGGUUGUUGGUGGGGUAAUGGCCCACCAAGCCUGCGAUCGGUACGGGCAGUGAGAGCUGAAGCCCGGAGUUGGGGACUGAGACAAGGCCCCAGGCCCUACGGGGCGCAGCAGGCGCGAAACCUCUGCAAUGCGGGAAACCGUGACAGGGGGAUCCCAAGUGCUCAUGCAUUGCAUGGGCUGUUCUUUGGUCUAAGUAACCAGAGGAGUAAGGGCUGGGCAAGACCGGUGCCC
rnacentral:rRNA from 1 species